GAUGAACGCUAGCUACAGGCUUAACACAUGCAAGUCGAGGGGAAACGAUAGAGAAAGCUUGCUUUUUCUAGGCGUCGACCGGCGCACGGGUGAGUAACGCGUAUCCAACCUUCCGUUUACUCAGGGAUAGCCUUUCGAAAGAAAGAUUAAUACCUGAUAGUAUGGUGAGAUUGCAUGAUAGCACCAUUAAAGAUUUAUUGGUAAACGAUGGGGAUGCGUUCCAUUAGGUAGUAGGCGGGGUAACGGCCCACCUAGCCUGCGAUGGAUAGGGGUUCUGAGAGGAAGGUCCCCCCACAUUGGAACUGAGACACGGUCCAAACUCCUACGGGAGGCAGCAGUGAGGAAUAUUGGUCCAAUGGGGCAGAGCCUGAACCAGCCAAGUAGCGUGAAGGAUGAAGGUCCUACGGAUUGUAAACUUCUUUUAUACGGGAAUAAAGUUUCCUACGUGUAGGAUUUUGUAUGUACCGUAUGAAUAAGCAUCGGCUAACUCCGUGCCAGCAGCCGUGGU
rnacentral:rRNA from 1 species